GUUUUAAUAGUUUAAAUAAAACCUUGGUCUUGUAAACCAAAAUUGAACUUAAUAUGCUCUUAAAACU
rnacentral:tRNA from 1 species